rnacentral:rRNA from 1 species
GACCUACGGGAGGCAGCAGUGAGGAAUAUUGGUCAAUGGGCGCGAGCCUGAACCAGCCAAGUAGCGUGAAGGAUGACUGCCCUACGGGUUGUAAACUUCUUUUAUAAAGGAAUAAAGUGAGGCACGUGUGCCUUUUUGUAUGUAUUUUAUGAAUAAGGAUCGGCUAACUCCGUGCCAGCAGCCGCGGUAAUACGGAGGAUGCGAGCGUUAUCCGGAUUUAUUGGGUUUAAAGGGUGCGCAGGCGGAGGUGCAAGUCAGCGGUCAAAUUGCGGGGCUCAACCCCGUACUGCCGUUGAAACUGCAUC